GGAGAUUAGUGAUUAUCUCCGUGGUGACCGGGUGAGAGGAGCCUGCUGUCUGCUGUGGAGGCUUGGGGGGCCCUUUAUACCCUAGCGUACCUGGGCUGUGUAAAGGGACCUCUUCUGAGCUGUCAGUGAAGUCGUCGUAGUCAGCCGCCAUAUUGGAUCCGGCCGCACCAUGCGGUCUCCUCAGCAGGUCUCCUAUGUCCGCUGUAAACCGCGGCUGAUCCGCCCGCGGCUUUUUAUUUUUCCUCCCCAUCUUUGUGGCUUCUCUUUCCGACCGUCGGCCGGGUCUUGUGAGGCUUGAUGUCGGCAGUAUUUAAGCCGUUUGUGUUACCCGACCGGGAGAGCUGCAGUCGUGCGUCCGAUCUCGCUGGGCGCUAGCUCCGCCC